rnacentral:rRNA from 1 species
GAUGAACGCUAGCUACAGGCUUAACACAUGCAAGUCGAGGGGUAGCAGGGUAGCAAUACCGCUGACGACCGGCGCACGGGUGAGUAACACGUAUCCAACCUUCCCAUAACUCGGGGAUAGCCUUUCGAAAGAAAGAUUAAUACCCGAUAGUACUUUUUCAAGGCAUCUUGAGAAAGUUAAAGAUUCAUUGGUUAUGGAGGGGAUGCUUUCCAUUAGAUAGUUGGUGAGGUAACGGCUCACCAAGUCUUCGAUGGAUAGGGGUUCUGAGAGGAAGGGCCCCCACAUUGGUACUGAGACACGGACCAAACUCCUACGGGAGGCAGCAGUGAGGAAUAUUGGUCAAUGGGCGAGAGCCUGAACCAGCCAAGUAGCGUGAAGGAUGAAGGUCCUAUGGAUUGUAAACUUCUUUUAUAGUAGAAUAAAGUGACCUACGUGUAGGUUUUUGUAUGUAUACUAUGAAUAAGGAUCGGCUAACUCCGUGCCAGCAGCCGAGUAA